rnacentral:piRNA from 1 species
ACACAUCUAUCAAAGAUCCUACUGCCCAUCU